UACGAAGGGGGCUAGCGUUGCUCGGAAUCACUGGGCGUAAAGGGUGCGUAGGCGGGUCUUUAAGUCAGGGGUGAAAUCCCGGGGCUCAACCCCGGAACUGCCUUUGAUACUGAUAGUCUCGAGUCCGGAAGAGGUGAGUGGAAUUCCGAGUGUAGAGGUGAAAUUCGUAGAUAUUCGGAGGAACACCAGUGGCGAAGGCGGCUCACUGGUCCGGUACUGACGCUGAGGUGCGAAAGCGUGGAGAGCAAACAGG
rnacentral:rRNA from 1 species